rnacentral:rRNA from 1 species
GAUGAACGCUGGCGGCGUGCUUAACACAUGCAAGUCGAACGAUGAAGCCCAGCUUGCUGGGUGGAUUAGUGGCGAACGGGUGAGUAACACGUGAGUAACCUGCCCUUAACUCUGGGAUAAGCCUGGGAAACUGGGUCUAAUACCGGAUAGGAGCGUCCACCGCAUGGUGGGUGUUGGAAAGAUUUAUCGGUUUUGGAUGGACUCGCGGCCUAUCAGCUUGUUGGUGAGGUAAUGGCUCACCAAGGCGACGACGGGUAGCCGGCCUGAGAGGGUGACCGGCCACACUGGGACUGAGACACGGCCCAGACUCCUACGGGAGGCAGCAGUGGGGAAUAUCGCACAAUGGGCGCAAGCCUGAUGCAGCGACGCCGCGUGAGGGAUGACGGCCUUCGGGUUGUAAACCUCUUUCAGUAGGGAAGAAGCGAAAGUGACGGUACCUGCAGAAGAAGCACCGGCUAACUACGUG